GCCAGCAGCCAAAUCACCCUGCAACUCACAGCUGGCAGCCCACUGGAGCUCAGCAGGUGUGAGCCUGGUCAGUACCUGGAUGGGAGACCUCCUGGGAAAAUCUAAGGUUGCUGCUGGAA
rnacentral:rRNA from 1 species